rnacentral:pre_miRNA from 14 species
UUAACCCAUUUAACAACUCAACCCAUCAAAUUAAAUGAGUUAUAGGUUGACCAACCCAUUUAACAAAAUGGGUUAGUCAACCUAUAACUCAUUUAACCCUAAACUCAUUUGAUUAUGAGU